GCCUGGGUGGCUCAGUCAGUUAAGUAUCUGACUUCUGCUCAGGUCACGAUCUCACAGUUCGUGGGUUCAAGCCCCGCGUCGGGCU
rnacentral:tRNA from 1 species